GUGGGGAAUAUUGGACAAUGGGCGCAAGCCUGAUCCAGCCAUGCCGCGUGAGUGAUGAAGGCCUUAGGGUUGUAAAGCUCUUUCAGUGGGGACGAUAAUGACGGUACCCACAGAAGAAGCCCCGGCUAACUUCGUGCCAGCAGCCGCGGUAAUACGAAGGGGGCUAGCGUUGUUCGGAUUUACUGGGCGUAAAGCGCACGUAGGCGGACAUUUAAGUCAGGGGUGAAAUCCCAGAGCUCAACUCUGGAACUGCCUUUGAUACUGGGUGUCUUGAGUAUGGAAGAGGUAAGUGGAAUUCCGAGUGUAGAGGUGAAAUUCGUAGAUAUUCGGAGGAACACCAGUGGCGAAGGCGGCUUACUGGUCCAUUACUGACGCUGAGGUGCGAAAGCGUGGGGAGCAAACAGGAUUAGAUACCCCGGUAGUCC
rnacentral:rRNA from 1 species